ensembl:lncRNA
AUUUUGUGUUUUAAGAAAAAGCAGUCAUAUCUUCUGACAAAGAAUUGGAGGAUUGGGGAAGGUUGAUGACAUAUCAGUGAAACUAAAAAGGCUUAAGGAUUGUAAACACAUUAUUUGAAAGAAUCAGUCAGUAAUAAACAGUAACUAAAAUAGAGCCCAAUACUUUAAAUUCAAAUAGGUGUUAAUAAAAUCCAUCAUAACAAAAUACAAAAAAUAAUUUUCUGCAUAACCCAGAGAAUUUAGGACCCAGCUGGCAAGCAUUUUAAGAAACAUUUAAUUAGAUAAUAUUUCACUGUAAGUCACAAACAUUUACUACAUAUCAAGCACCAUGCUAAAAACUUUACAUGUUUUAUAACAUUUCAUUCUCACAAUGACCCUGUAGUGUAGGGUCUAUUAGGGAAGAGGAAACUAAUACUCCAAGAGUUUAUGUAACAUGCUCAGUAUCACACUAGUAAAAUAUUCAGUCAAAUCCAGGCAGGCCUUUUCCAGCAUUUAAGUUGGUUUCUUCUCUUAUAGACCUAAUACUCUUGACCUAUAAAAUAAUCUACAGUUUUAUUAAAUGUUCAUCAACUCUUUACUAUGUUAUUAUGUCUCGCUCUAAAGGAUAAUAAUUAAGGGGUUGCAGAAGACUUUUUCAAGGAUGAAUUAAAGAAACGUUUCAAUUUGAGGAAGACAAAAAUAGUAAUGGAACUGGAAAUCAAUAAAACAUUAUUACCAGAAUGUUGUACUACUCCCAACAAGAAUUUUUAAAAGUAGAAUUAAUCUGCAGAUUGUGGUUUAUUUUUACAGUGAGAGAAGGAAAAUUUUAAGUAUCAAAUUUUUACUCACCUUAGUCUUGGAAAAUGACUUAUAGUUUAUGUACCUCAGUGAGACAGGACCCAACUCCCCUGACUCCUGUCCAGGGCUGCCUACAUUUUAUCAUACUACCAUUUAGAGUCAUAUUACAAGAUUUCUUAAGAUCCUUAUAUUAUGCUCAAAUUGUAUAAACUGUGAUUUGCAUAAGUAUGCAGGGAUACAGUCUCUACCAGCUUUAAUAAAGAGGAAGGAAAUAAUUUCUCUCUCAUACACACACAUCCUCACAUAGCUGUUGAGAGUAUGGCAUCAGGCUGCUUUGCUAUUCCUGUUAUCUAGAAAUAGCAGAGGGACCUUGGGUGCCCCUGACAGUUCUCUAAGAGGCAUGCCCAAGAGCUGAACUCAGCUGCCAUACACAGUGAUUCAGCAAUUUACUAGCAGAAUAUAUGACAGAGAGAAGAAGGAGAAUUUUUUCAUCCUGGAUUUAGACAUCUGGGAGAGAGAUUGGUAACUUUGUUAAUCCUGUUUUACAGAAGAGGAAGAGGAGGCAACAAAACAUUAAAAGAAUACUUCUUAAGCCAUGUGACAGGAGGUACCACAUGUACAGCAUUGCUUCCUAAAAUCAGAGUGUGCCUCUCCAGACAAUACCCAUUUUAUUAAAAUGAAAUAUCAACUCUUUCUCAAACUGUCAAGUUAAAAAAAGCAAACUUUAAUGUGAACUCUAUUAAUCUUUCUAUUAAAUGAUUCAUUGUCUAUGUGAAAUGGCUCCGUGAAGGAAUGAAAGGUAAUGGCCUUUGAAAAACAACUCUGUUUUCCAAGAAAACUGGCCUUCUAGAAGACAACUGUUUGUGACAGCUUGGGUGUGUGACUUGCUUAAGAGGGAAAAAAAAGUGCAGCUUUCCAAGAGGAAAAUGGAAAUCAGUAGCAGAGAGAGAAAAAGAAAGACUUUCAAAGCUUGUCUCUAAAUUCCGUUUUGAGAUUCACAUGAGCACUUUAGCUCUAGAACAAUGUUUCCAGAAACACAAUCUAUCAAUAAUGACAUUUAUAGGUCAAUUACUGUUACCUAGGGAAUUUGGUCUACUCUUAUUUUACAGCAUAUCUGCCAAAAAAAAAUCAUAUACGGCAUGUUUUGACUUGGCUCUAAGCUUUCUAAAAGCUUUUCUUUCUUAUUCAGCUGAAACUCUGAAACUUACCUGCUACCCUUCUGGCCCAAAGCCAGUUCAUCAUUAAAUCUACACUGUGCUCUACUUCUCUGUAUCCCAGCCAGCCUCCUAUUUCUGAUUUUGGCACAAAUGACAAAGUGCUGAUAGAGAAGCCACAAAAUGUUAAGAUGAGGUCAUUUUGGAAGAGGCAGGUAGAGGAAAGUAUGGAAUUUCUUGGUUAAAGCCUGAGAAAGGCCAAAUAAGCAAGAACACUCCAUUGCCGAAGAACCAACAGACAGAUUCCCUUGGAGCCACUGAGAUGAUGAGCCACUGUCUUCACAGUUGCUAAGACAACUUGAUCAAUGGAUUUAGAAGGACCACUUUUCUGUCUCCUGGGAGAAAGGCAGUUAGGGAAUCUUUUUUAUUAUUCAAUCAUAGGUUCCCCUAAUGUUAAAGAACCUGCCUGUCAAUGCAGGAGACAUAAGAGCUGUGGGUUUGACCCUGAGUCAGGAAGAUCCCCUGGAGAAGAGGAUGACAACUCAUUCCAGUAUUCUUGCCUAGAGAAUCCCAUGGAAGAGAAGCCUGGGAGCUACAGUCCAUAGGGUUGCAAAGAGUCAGACACGGCUGAAACAACUUAGCACACAUUUAUUUCUUUAUCCAGCCAUCCCUUUACUAACUAAUUCAACUAGCGAUUUAAGAUCACCUUUAUUUUGAAUAGUAUACAACAAUGCUUCUAAAAAUUUAAUGGAAGUGCAAAUUACUUGGGAAUCUUGUUAAAAUACACUCUUGGAUUCAGGAAUCUGGGGUGGGCUCAAAGUUCUGCAUUUCUCCUCAGCUCCCAGGUGAUACCUACAUUGUUCCUCCAAGGGCAGGAAAGAAAUAAAGUCACUUUGACUCUUGAACAGCAAAGGGGUUGCAGGUGCCAACCUUCUGCACAGUAAAAAACCUGUGUGUAUAACUUAUUCUCAGUCCUUUGUUCAUGAGGUUCCUCUGCAUCUGCGAUUCUGUGGAUUUAACCAACCACAAGUUGUAUAGUAUGGUAGUACUUACUAUUGAAAAAAUCUCAUAGAAGUGGACCCAGUUCAAACAUGCUUUGUUUAAGGGUCAAAGUGUCCAUUCAUUGUACUUUCCAUUCCCCUACACCAGUGGUUUUCAAACUUGUGAAAAAAUGCAAACUCUUAGGCCCAAGAAUCCAAAUCUGAGUUUGGAUUCAGCAACCUUUCAAUUUUUGAGCCCCAAGGUGAUUCUGUUGUAUGUUCAAGUUUCAGAACCAUUGUUCUUAAAACUGGGCUGUGCAUUGGAAUCACUUGAGGAGCUUGCAGGUUGAAUUGUUUCCCACAAAAAAAAAAAAAAAAAAAAAAGAGAGAGAGAGAGAGGUUGAGGUCCUAACCCAAGAUACUGCUGACUGUGACCUUAUUUGGAGAUAGUCUUUGCAGAUGGAAUCAAGCUAAGAUGAGGUCAGACUUGAUAUGUGUGGGUCCCAAAUCCCAUGGGGGCUUCCCAGGUGGCUCAGUGGUAAAGAAUUCGCUUGCCAAUGUAGGAGACUUACACAUGGGUUCCAUCCCUGGGUCAGGAAGAUCCCCUGGUGUUGGAAAUAGCAACCCAGUCCAGUAUUCCUGCCUGGAGAAUUCCAAGGACAGAGGAGUCUGGCGGGCUACAGUCCAUGGGGUCGCAAAGAGUUGGACAUGACUGAGCACACACACAUUCACACACAAACAAUUCCCAUGACCAGUGUCUGUAUGAGAAGAGUGGGAUUUGGAGACAUGGACACAGGAGGGAAGGCUAUGCAAGGAAAGAGGCAGAAAUUAGAGAGAUGAAGCUAUCAGCCAGGAAAUGUCAACAAUAACCUGCAAGCGGCAGAGGCUAGGAGAGAAGCACGCAACAGACUCUCUCCCAGACCCCUCAGAGGACGUGUGGCCCUGCCAACCCCUUGACUGCACAUUUCUAACCUUCUGGACACUGAGAGAGGGGAUGUCUGGUAUCUGAAGUCACUAAAUCUAUAGCACUCUGUUAUGGCAGCCACAGGAGAGGAAUUACAGAGCUUUAGAAAACAAACAAAAAUAUAUUCCCUUAUCAGAGGCUUAUCAAGUGGUGCUAGUGGUGGAGAAUCUUCCUGUGAAUACAGGAGACGGACACUUAAGAGAUGCAGGUUCAGUCCCUGGGUCAGGAAGAUCUCCUGGAGGAGGAAAUGACAGCCCGCUCCAGUAUUCUUGCAUGGAGAAUCCCAUGGCCAGAGGAGCCUGGUGGCCUACAGUCCAUGGGGUCACAAAGAGUUGGACACAACUGAGCACACACUAAUGAUGAUGAUGAGUUCCUUACCAGUUAAAUCAGUCUCGGGAUGGGGCCUCUGAAUGAAGGCUUUUAAAAUCUCCCUCAAGGGAUUCCAACAUUGUUUAUACUUAAUUUCACAAUAGAUUUAAAAAAAUACUACAAGC